GUAGGGAGUAUUCGGCAAUGGGGGAAACCCUGACCGAGCAACGCCGCGUGAAUGAUGACGGCCUUCGGGUUGUAAAAUUCUGUGGCGAGGAACGAAUGGCAAGGAGAGGAAAUGCUCUUUGUUUGACGGUACCUCGCUAGAAAGCCACGGCUAACUACGUGCCAGCAGCCGCGGUAAUACGUAGGUGGCAAGCGUUAUCCGGAAUUAUUGGGCGUAAAGAGUGAGCAGGCGGUUUUUUAAGUCUGAAGUCAAAUCCUGUGGCUCAACCACAGUUCGCUUUGGAAACUGAAGAACUAGAGUGCGGGAGAGGUAAGCGGAAUUCCAUAUGUAGCGGUGAAAUGCACAGAUAUAUGGAGGAACACCGGUGGCGAAGGCGGCUUACCAGCCCGAUACUGACGCUCAGUCACGAAAGCGUGGGGAGCAAAUAGGCUUAGAAACCCGGGUAGUCC
rnacentral:rRNA from 1 species